rnacentral:rRNA from 1 species
UAAACGACUCUCGGCAACGGAUAUCUCGGCUCUCGCAUCGAUGAAGAACGUAGCGAAAUGCGAUACUUGGUGUGAAUUGCAGAAUCCCGCGAACCAUCGAGUCUUUGAACGCAAGUUGCGCCCGAAGCCAACUUGGUUGAGGGCACGCCUGCCUGGGCGUCUCAC